UACAGAGGGGGCAAGCGUUGUUCGGAAUUACUGGGCGUAAAGGGCGCGUAGGCGGCCUUCUAAGUCAGACGUGAAAUCCCCCGGCUUAACCUGGGAACUGCGUCUGAUACUGGAUGGCUUGAGUUCGGGAGAGGGAUGCGGAAUUCCAGGUGUAGCGGUGAAAUGCGUAGAUAUCUGGAGGAACACCGGUGGCGAAGGCGGCAUCCUGGACCGAUACUGACACUGAGGAGCGAAAGCCAGGGGAGCAAACGGG
rnacentral:rRNA from 1 species